rnacentral:rRNA from 1 species
UACGUAGGGUGCGAGCGUUGUCCGGAAUUAUUGGGCGUAAAGGGCUCGUAGGCGGUUUGUCGCGUCGGGAGUGAAAACUCAGGGCUUAACCCUGAGCCUGCUCCCGAUACGGGCAGACUAGAGGUAUGCAGGGGAGAACGGAAUUCCUGGUGUAGCGGUGAAAUGCGCAGAUAUCAGGAGGAACACCGGUGGCGAAGGCGGUUCUCUGGGCAUUACCUGACGCUGAGGAGCGAAAGUGUGGGGAGCGAACAGG